UACGUAGGGGGCUAGCGUUGUCCGGAAUCAUUGGGCGUAAAGCGCGUGUAGGCGGCUCGGUAAGUCCGCUGUGAAAGUCGGGGGCUCAACCCUCGGAUGCCGGUGGAUACUGUCGGGCUAGAGUACGGAAGAGGCGAGUGGAAUUCCUGGUGUAGCGGUGAAAUGCGCAGAUAUCAGGAGGAACACCGAUAGCGAAGGCAGCUUGCUACACGAUCAUUGACACUGAGGCACGAAAGCGUGGGGAUCAAACAGG
rnacentral:rRNA from 1 species